AGCAGCCGCGGUAAUUCCCGCUCCAAUAGCGUAUAUUAAAGUUGUUGCAGUUAAAAAGCUCGUAGUUGAAUUUCGGGAUUAGUACGUUGGUCGUGCCUUCGGUACGUACUGGUGUUACUGAUUCCUACCUUCUGACGAACCAUCAUGUCAUUAAUUUGGUGUGGCGGGGAAUCAGGACUGUUACUUUGAAAAAAUUAGAGUGUUUAAAGCAGGCUCGCGCUUGAAUACAUUAGCAUGGAAUAAUGAAAUAGGACGUUGACCCUAUUUUGUUGGUUUCUAGGAUUGACGUAAUGAUUAAUAGGGAUAGUUGGGGGCAUUAGUAUUCAAUUGUCAGAGGUGAAAUUCUUGGAUUUAUUGAAGACUAACUACUGCGAAAGCAUUUGCCAAGGAUGUUUUCAUUAAUCAAGAACGAAAGUUAGGGGAUCGAAGACGAUCAGAUACCGUCGUAGUCUUAACCAUAAACUAUGCCGACUAGGGAUCGGAUGAUGUUAUUUCUAAUGACUCA
rnacentral:rRNA from 1 species